rnacentral:rRNA from 1 species
AUACGGAGGAUGCGAGCGUUAUCCGGAUUUAUUGGGUUUAAAGGGAGCGUAGGUGGGAUAUUAAGUCAGCUGUGAAAGUUUGGGGCUCAACCUUAAAAUUGCAGUUGAUACUGGUUUCCUUGAGUACGGUACAGUUGGGCGGAAUUCGUGGUGUAGCGGUUAAAUGCUUAAAUAUCUCGAUGAAUUACGAUCGCGAAGGCAGCUCAGCGGGCUGGAACUUACGCUGAAGCUCGAAAGUACGAGUAUCAAACAGUAUGAGAGACCCUUGUAGUCCUCACCUUAAACGAUUAAUACUCGCUGUUUGCGAUACACGGUAAGCGGCCAAGCGAAAGCGUUAAGUAUUCCGCCUGGGGAGUACGCCGGCAACGGUGAAACUCAAAUGAAUUGACAGAG